rnacentral:rRNA from 1 species
AAAUUGAAGAGUUUGAUCAUGGCUCAGAUUGAACGCUGGCGGCAGGCCUAACACAUGCAAGUCGAACGGUAACAGGGAUCAGCUUGCUGAUUCG